rnacentral:rRNA from 1 species
CUACGGGUUGCUGCAGCUAAGAAUAUUCCGCAAUGGGAGAGAUCCUGACGGAGCGACGCCGCGUGAACGAUGAAGGCAGAAAUGUUGUAAAGUUCUUUUAUACGGGAAGAAUAAUGUUAUUCAGAGAAAGUCUAACAGAUGACGGUACCGUAUGAAUAAGCCCCGGCUAACUACGUGCCAGCAGCCGCGGUAAUACGUAGGGGGCAAGCGUUGUUCGGAUUUAUUGGGCGUAAAGGGCAUGUAGGCUGUUUUGCAAGUGUGGAUUGAAAGGCCGGAGCUUAACUCCGUGUUUGGUCUGCAAACUGCAAGACUUGAGUUUAGGAUGGGAGACUGGAAUUCCACGUGUAGGGGUGAAAUCUGUAGAGAUGUGGAAGAAUACCGGUGGCGAAGGCGAGUCUCUGGCCUAAUACUGACGCUGAGAUGCGAAAGCGUGGGGAGCGAACAGGAUUAGAUACCCGUGUAGUC